CAGGCUCUGUGUUCACAGGGGUGGCCGGGCGGCACCUGAGGGGGCAGCCAGGAGAGCUCCUGAUGAUCUACACUGCCCUUGAAGAAAUGGCCAGUGACAUCAGCCUUGGUGUCGGAAGCCUGGCAAUUGAAACAUUGUGCAUCCUGAGGUCAGCAGAGUGGGCUCCAAUCUCCAGGUUCCAGAGGCUGCAAGAUCAGCUGCGCAGGGUGUGGAAGGCUCGGCCGCGUCUCUCGCGUCUCCGCAGGCUGAGCUGCUGGAGCUCAGUGGAGAACUAAUCCCAGAGGCUCUUUUUGCUGGGACCCCCUGAGUAAUGGGGAAUUUUUUUUUCUUCUAAAAUGUUCUCCUUUUUGUUUGCUUUUACUUUAUAAAUAUAGAAUGCGUUAUAAUA